UGUUCCCUCUAAGCUGCGCGCGUGCGCGGACGCGCAGGCCAGUCAAAGUGGCCGCGCAAUAGAUUUGUCAGACCGCGCACAUUUUUCACACCGCACAUAAACAUUGAUGCAUUAGCUGUUGUAAAAGAAUUAAGAGAGAGAGAAGGCGAGUGUUCUAGAAGCAGAAGAAACUUUCAACCAAUCGCUGAUCUUGCUACGGUGACAGACACUUUUAUGAGCCAAUGGUAGCAGCGCAUUCAGUUCACACAGGUGCCAGCACGAGCACAGAGUUAGAGCGAGUCAGAUGAGCAGCUGCACGGGGCGAUCUCACGAAACUAAAAUAUUUAUUAAGAGGAAAAAGUGAUUCAAAACAGUGAUUUAAAACAAAUGAUUGGAUUCCUGAAGUGAUGCGAUAACUUGGAAAAGCUGUCGCAAGAGUGAGGAGAGAGCAAAAUAAAGAGCUAGAACGGAGGCAGAUGCAGAAUCACAGAGCAUCAAAACACUGCGAAUGAACUUCUUCUUUUAAAUAAGAAGUUAAAAUUUACGCUUUGGUGAGUUAUAUUCUAAAUGUUAACUUGACAUUAUGGCAUAAGUGUUGCAAAUUUGGCAGCAAACUAUGAGUUUUAUUAGUUUGUUUACAUUGGCCGUUGGUAUAUAACAAACGAGCUGAAGCUAUUUACAUUUGAAAGUUAACAGUCAAGUAACGUAAAUGUGAUUAAAAAAUAACAUUUUAAGUGUCAAUAUGUUCAAUAAGUGUUGAAACCCUGAGUUAGGUUGUUAUUUGAAAUGUUUACAUGAUGCUUAUUGAUAAAUCUGUUGAAUUGAAGAUUAAUUACUGCUCUGCUUUGUUCGAGCCCUGCUCCAUCUUGGACACGCGAGACAAUUAAGUAUAUACUGAAGGUGUAUACAAAAAGGCGAGCCAACCAGAACUGUGCUUUGAAGUCAUCAGAACUGGACACUGACUUUGAACUGAACUAUUUGAACUUUUUAAAGGAACAAACAAUUGAUUCAUGAAUUCAACCCAACUGAGUCAUUUAAGUGAAUCAUGAAUUUGGAUUACAAACAAAAUGAAACAGUGUUACUCUUUUACAA